UACCAGCACCCCGAGUGGUCGGGACGUUUAUUGGGCCUAAAGCAUCCGUAGCCGGUUCUGCAAGUCCCCCGUUAAAUCCAGCUGCUCAACAGAUGGGCCGCGGAGGAUACUAUAGAGCUAGGAGGCGGGAGAGGCAAGCGGUACUCGAUGGGUAGGGGUAAAAUCCGUUGAUCCAUUGAAGACCACCAGUGGCGAAGGCGGCUUGCCAGAACGCGCUCGACGGUGAGGGAUGAAAGCUGGGGGAGCAAACCGG
rnacentral:rRNA from 1 species